rnacentral:ncRNA from 2 species
AUGAAGAAUGCGGGAGAGCCCACUAGGUGGCACCGAAGGAGCAAAUCAUGGUUUUGCCGAUCAUGAUAUAAACUCUCAGGUAAAAGGACCGUGUUUGGACA